UACGUAGGGACCAAGCGUUGUUCGGAUUUACUGGGCGUAAAGCGUGCGCAGGCGGCGCCGCAAGUCGAGUGUGAAAUCCCCGAGCUUAACUUGGGAAUUGCGCUCGAAACUACGGUGCUGGAGUGUGGCAGAGGGAGGUGGAAUUCCACGUGUAGCGGUGAAAUGCGUAGAGAUGUGGAGGAACACCGAUGGCGAAGGCAGCCUCCUGGGCCAACACUGACGCUCAUGCACGAAAGCGUGGGGAGCCAAAGGG
rnacentral:rRNA from 1 species